CGAGCUGAAACUUGAAGAAAUUAUGACUUCACGGGAGAACUCAGCAGAAUCAAGUCCAAUGCAUGAUUUUGCCCCCGUUGACUUCGACUAUCCUAUGCAAGUUCCCAUUAAUAUUAACAUGAAUGAGUUGGAAAAAAUGAUGCAUAAUUUAUAGAUUUUUCAUUCAUGUAAAUUAUAAAUUUUGGAUCAUUUUGCAAUCAAUAAAAUUUCCCAAAUUCA
rnacentral:lncRNA from 1 species